rnacentral:tRNA from 2 species
AGCUCAGUUGGUUAGAGCAGACGGCUCAUAACCCGUCCGGUCGUAGGUUCGAGUCCUAAAGGGC